rnacentral:rRNA from 1 species
GAGUUUGAUCCUGGCUCAGGAUGAACGCUAGCGGGAGGCUUAACACAUGCAAGUCGAGGGGCAGCACGAUGUAGCAAUACGUUGGUGGCGACCGGCGCACGGGUGAGUAACGCGUAUGCAACCUACCCUGUACUGGAAGAUAACCCGGAGAAAUUCGGACUAAUAUUCCAUAAAGAUAUAGAGAGGCAUCUUUUUAUAUUUAAAGUUCUGGCGGUACGGGAUGGGCAUGCGUAACAUUAGCUAGUUGGAAGGGUAACGGCCUACCAAGGCAACGAUGUUUAGGGGUCCUGAGAGGGUGAUCCCCCACACUGGUACUGAGACACGGACCAGACUCCUACGGGAGGCAGCAGUGAGGAAUAUUGGUCAAUGGGCGCAAGCCUGAACCAGCCAUCCCGCGUGAAGGAAGAAGGCGCUAUGCGUUGUAAACUUCUUUUCCAGGGAAAUAAAAUUUUGUACGUGUACGAAAUUGAAGGUACCCUGGGAAUAAGCAUCGGCUAACUCCGUGCCAGCAGCCGCGGUAAUACGGAGGAUGCAAGCGUUAUCCGGAUUUAUUGGGUUUAAAGGGUGCGUAGGCGGGAAGAUAAGUCAGUGGUGAAAUCCUGCAGCUUAACUGUAGAAUUGCCGUUGAUACUGUUUUUCUUGAGUGUGGUCAAGGAAGGCGGAAUGUGUAAUGUAGCGGUGAAAUGCUUAGAUAUUACACAGAACACCGAUUGCGAAGGCAGCUUUCUGGGCCGUUACUGACGCUGAGGCACGAAAGCGUGGGGAUCAAACAGGAUUAGAUACCCUGGUAGUCCACGCCGUAAACGAUGAUCACUAGCUGUUGGCGAUAUACUGUCAGCGGCAAAGCAAAAGCAUUAAGUGAUCCACCUGGGGAGUACGGCCGCAAGGCUGAAACUCAAAGGAAUUGACGGGGGCCCGCACAAGCGGAGGA